CUGUCAAUCAUUCAUUAAUAUUUUGCUUUGCUCAAUUCUCAACGGAAACCCAAAUAUUUCAAUGUGAAUACUUCGUCAGGCUAUAGUGUUGGUGAAGGAGGAGCAUUCAUCAAACACUCGAAUGAAUAAUAAUUCUUUUCUACGGUAAAUUCAAGCAUCAUCGAAAAAACAUGCAACGAUAUAGACCAACACUUUGAAACCACGCCGACAUUCGUGCCGACAAAUGCAAAUAUAAUCGAAAUUUACGUGUUUCACCCUGAUUGCCGACUGACAACUUUACAAAUAUUUAGUCACGCGAUUAUAUCUAACGCGACACAAAGACAAACACACGGGGCGCAGCAGCGGAUUGUUUAUUAAAGAAGCUGAAAUCUACGGUAAAAAAAAUCAAAAUGCUUGCGCCCGAGGACCGUUCAAUACUUCUGCUGUUUAUCUCAUGGUGUCUUGUCGGACUCAAUGUUACAAUUGCCAGUGAUUGCAACGCCAUGAAAGGAUCAAAUGUUGAACUUAUUAUAUGGUAUGAUCAAAUAGCGGAAGUAGCAUGGUCUGGAGUCAUUCCAAAUGCUUCAUAUAAAGUAGAGGCUUGUGGAGGAACCAAUUUGCCUUCUGACAUGCAUCACCUUGUUCAUUAUCCAAUAUGUCCCAAAAUGGCUCUUUUGACAAAUUGCCGCAACUACCCAUUUAAAGUAAAUGGAAUAAUCUGCACUAUUUCACGUAACAGCAUUACCUUAGGGGAAGAUGUUGAAGCAAAGUUUGAAAUUACAGCGCCGGGCUGUCCAGUGGAGGUGAAAUAUUUGAAAUUAAAUGUGACCAUUAAAGAUUCUAGAGCACGUCCUGUGAGUAAUCUUCAGGUAGUUGAAAACAAGGAGGCCUUUCAUUGACAUGGAAACACAAGUCACUCAAGCAUAACCAUGAUCAUAUUCGUUAUUUCUAUGUUGUCAAGGAGAUUAUAAACUCAACAAAUUCCAUUCUGUUGGAAAAGAGGAGAUCCCGUCGAAGAGUCUCAAGCACUUGUUGUGCUGCCUCUGGAUCAUGCUUUCAAGCUUUAUGAGUUCUGUGUCAAUGCACAAAUUGGCGUGGGUAAAAAAACAGUUGUCAGAUCCAAACUAUCGCCGGACAGAUGUAUCCGAAAACGGCUAGCUUCUAAAGAGCCAUCCAAACCUUUAAAGAUUCUUUGUGGAGUGCCCGGAGAGAUGAAAGCUGUAAGGAAGAAAAGAACGAAACUCAUCGCAAUGUUACAUUACUUUGGCAGCUACCGGACAAAAAGUUUUGGCAUGGACUCCCCACCGUCAUUAAAGUGGCGGUGAACGUCGAGAGCAAGGAAAAGAACGCCACCGAAGUGUUUAAUGUCAGCGCGACAAGAACCAACUGGACUUUAAUGAAUCUAAAACGUGAUGCAAAGUAUUACAUUCAACUGACAUUUUUUCGGAUGGUGGAGAUGGUCCAACAAGCAAAUAUCUGGUGAUAUUUGAAGAUGAGCCAACAGUUUCCCCAACUUCCGUCAAAGAAGAUGAUAACAUGGAUCGGACAAGAUUAGCUGUAAUUACAACUGCAACAGUGAUUGGAGUUCUUAUACUCGUCGUGAUAUUUUCGUGCUGUUACAUAAAGUCGAAAAAACUUUCCAAGCCUGCGACUUUGCCUGUGCUACAACCGCCUGAAAAAUCCACUGGUCGUUCUGGUACAGCUGAUAAUCUGUUGAUGAAUCAUGUCGAUUAUGAUUUUCUUAUGGUGAACGAUCCGCCAAUCGGAGCAUAUCUCGCCAAGUCGCAGUCCAAUGGCAGGCUAUCGUAUGACGAGAAUAAAUCAACGGAUAGCAGCAUUGUGACGAGUUCCUCGUCAACGUUCGACGAAUCCAGGCAAAGUAUGGGAAGUGAUGACGUCGGUGAAACAGCUGGGAUGCGAAAGGACCUUUGAUGAUGCCCAGGUACAACUACGGUGUAGGUAGUAUAUAUUAUGUUCAUACUGUUUUGUUAUAGAAGUUGAAAUUUUCACAGUUUAUCAAGAAACAUCCACAUGUAUGUUGUAGCAACAACCGUGAUGAACGUACGUAUGAAGAGAUGUUGUUGCCAAGUGUGUGGAAUUGAGGAUUCAUCUUCCUGAGCCGACAUGGGCUUUUUUCAUGUCAGGAAGAAUAAUCCUCGCACACUUCCAAAACACAUACCAAUUUGCGAGAAAUGUUUGUGUGAAGUGUAAUUGCACAACACAGGUCCAACAUCAUUCAUGAAUAUACCAAAAUUUGCUCAACAUGACAUAUGUCUUUUGGCUAACCGAAAAGAUUUUAAUCGUUACUCAACAAUGUGUUGAGCUUCUACGUUUAGAAAUAUUUUCAAAAUAUAACUGACAAAAACGUUUAAGUGAGGUUUUUCGACUCUUGUCGAUUGCCCAACAACGUUUGCUCUGUACUUCUACGUAUAUGUAUUUACGUCACACACGUCAUGUCGGAUGUUGUUUUUUUUGAUAAAAAGGGAAAUAAUCAAUGCUAGUAAUGAUAAAAUAUAUAAUCUGAUUUAUUCGUUGGCAAUGCCACAUGUUGCGUUUUUAUGAACUAGAUGUAUUUUAACUUCCAUUCUACGGUCCCGUAUUUAAAGCUAUCAUUUUAGUUUUAAGCACGCGUUGAAAUACAUCCUGAUUGUAAAGGCGCAACAUGGCAUGUCUCAACAGCAUUUAUUAACAAAGGAAUUGUUUACGACUCACAUGAUGUAGCCGGAAGUCGUAAUUGCAUGCUUCGAUACAUAAUCUGUGGUAAUGGUAGAAACCGUGAACCACGGGCCUGGUUGUACAAACGUCAAAAUGUGUUAAUGAAACAUUAUUCUACGUGUUUAUUAAUAUGAAUUCUAAAGAAAUUUUUCGUGUAUCAGAACAUCCUCUAACGCAAAUUUCAAAAAACAGAUUCAUCUAAACUACAAACACAUUUAAACAACAGACAGUCAGUGUGGUUUAACAGUUGCUAAUCUCAUUAUUGAUACAUUUAAACAUUGUAUUGUCUGUUUGGUACGUUAAGGUUAAGUUGCAGUCUAAACUUCUUGUUUUCUCACGUUGUGGAAGCAUACAGGUUUUGACGUUUGUACUUACUAGCCCAGGAACGCAUGUUUUGAAAGAUGAUGUCCGCCUUCUUGAGAUGAUCCUUCAAUAAACAUGCGCUCUUUUAACGUCAUUUUUUUUUUUUAACGAUUAAGUUCCAGUCAUUUUUUUCCACGUCAGCUUCGGCCAACUUUAGCAUAUAGAGUGUUUGCAUGUGACGUCAUGGCAGCCAUGUUGGAGCCUACAUCAACGUACCGAUGCUCAACAGAGCAUGAAAUUAUCAUGAAUUCUUUUCACUAUAUGAGACUUUCCUCCAACAUGGCUACCGAUGCAAAUACCUUAUAGAGAGAAAUGAUCAUCAAAUUGUUUGCAAUUCGCAUCAAAAAUUGACGAAAUUUCAUUGAUUUGACACAAGAUAAGAUAUUAUCUUUUUGCCAUAAUAUAAAACAUACGCGAGAAUUCAAUGGACACGUAUGCUCUACGUUGGGGACUUGGAACUGUGGAUGUGGGACGCCGAGAGCAAACAGACUCUUCAUAUUACAGUUAAUAAGUACCAAUUGACUUGGUUUCUAGAAGGUGUUUUCAACGCACUUGAGACGGUUUCUUAUUGAAUUGACCUACAAUGUCAACCACUGCCAGCUCCGAGUAGGAGUCAUUUUACUUUAACUACCCUAUGGUAAAUUUUAUAAGAAUGUUUUGGAAAUUUUGUCACUUGCAAACGCUCAGUUCAAGUCUCUCUGCGAUGAUCCUACCCUGUGUCGAUAUCUGUCCGCUUCUUUACUCCUGCUGCUCAAAUAUAUUUAGUUUGUUCACUCAUUUCAUAAACAAUGAAUAUGAAACAAUGAAUAUGAAACAAUGAAUGAAUUUUUAAUGAAAUGAAAGUAGAUUUCUUGAAACAUUUGCUAAGCAGGAGUAAAAGCUCAGGCAGGCAUCGUCCUUUGCCCUGCAUCUAGUUUUCAAAAUGAGCAAGUCCUUGAAACUAGCUUUUUAUUGUAGUUUUAUAUGUUAUUAUAAUUAAGAGUAUGCGUACCUGGUAUUUUUAUUGCUUUGUGAUAACAAUCGUCGAAAUUAUCAGAAAUACAUUGUGACGUCACUAGGCUCAACCACAAUGUUACCCAAUGAGCUUGUCUGUUACAUCAUUAUGUGACCUGAUAGUUUUUUUGAUUUGUUCAAGGAAAGAAAUCUCAGCUACUGCAUGCAUUACUAUAUUAUAACAUAAUUAAAUUACGUGGCAGAAUUUUUUUAAAAACUUUUAGAUAUAGUAAGAAAUGCUUGCAAAUAUAGAUGAUCAAAUGUUUUGUUGGACGAUGGCUCAUAUUUUAGGAAGCAGUUGUUCCGAGGUUGCUGAACUUAUUCCUGAAUUUGACACUCGUAGACAACUUUAUCAAAUUAAAAUGGUUAUAUAUAGAGGUUUUUAACGCUUGUAAAACAGCUCAUUUCCGAACUCGACUAACACGUCAUUGUUUUGGAAUCGAAGAAUUUCUCGGGUACAAGUACCCAAGACAAUUGUAUAUCUAGCAAAAUCGUAGUUUGCCACAUGUGUCAUUUCUGAAUGUCUCUUAUCAACCUUGGAGCAACUGACUCAGUUCGCUGUUUUUAACAUGUAUAAACCUAGUGAUGUUACACACUUGGUGUAGUUUUUCGUUGAUAGCGUACAGAAACAAUAAAACAUUGGGAAUAUUAUGA